rnacentral:rRNA from 1 species
GACGAACGCUGGCGGCGUGCUUAACACAUGCAAGUCGAACGGUGAUGCUCCAGCUUGCUGGAGUGGAUCAGUGGCGAACGGGUGAGUAACACGUGAGCAACCUGCCCCAGACUCUGGAAUAAGCGCUGGAAACGGCGUCUAAUACUGGAUACGAAACUGGCCCGCAUGGGCAUGGUUUGGAAAGUUGUUCGGUUUGGGAUGGGCUCGCGGCCUAUCAGCUUGUUGGUGAGGUAAUGGCUCACCAAGGCGACGACGGGUAGCCGGCCUGAGAUGGCGACCGGCCACACUGGGACUGAGACACGGCCCAGACUCCUACGGGAGGCAGCAGUGGGGAAUAUUGCACAAUGGGCGAAAGCCUGAUGCAGCGACGCCGCGUGAGGGAUGACGGCCUUCGGGUUGUAAACCUCUUUCAGCAGUGAAGAAGCGAAAGUGACGGUACCUGCAGAAGAAGCACCGGCUAACUACGUG